UGCCAGCAGCCGCGGUAAUACGGAGGGGGUUAGCGUUGUUCGGAAUUACUGGGCGUAAAGCGCACGUAGGCGGACUGGAAAGUUGGGGGUGAAAUCCCAGGGCUCAACCCUGGAACUGCCUCCAAAACUAUCAGUCUAGAGUUCGAGAGAGGUGAGUGGAAUUCCGAGUGUAGAGGUGAAAUUCGUAGAUAUCUGGAGGAACACCGGUGGCGAAGGCGACUCACUGGACCGUAUCUGACGCUGAGGUGCGAAAGCUAGGGUAGCAAACAGGAUUAGAUA
rnacentral:rRNA from 1 species